GCAUAAUAUUAGAACCGGUUAUUUUAACCUAAAGAAAAUAAUUGGUGUCGAAAUUAUGCCAAAUGAAAAGCCACAUUUUACUUGUCUUUAUUGUGUCAAGAAAUUUCCAGCAUUCUAAAGAUUUCUAAUGUUGCAACA
rnacentral:snoRNA from 1 species